rnacentral:rRNA from 1 species
AUUGAACGCUGGCGGCAUGCUUGACACAUGCAAGUCGAACGGUAACAGGUUAAGCUGACGAGUGGCGAACGGGUGAGUAAUGCAUCGGAACGUGCCCGGUCGUGGGGGAUAACGCAGCGAAAGCUGCGCUAAUACCGCAUACGAUCUGAGGAUGAAAGCGGGGGACCGUAAGGCCUCGCGCGAUCGGAGCGGCCGAUGGCAGGUUAGGUAGUUGGUGGGGUAAAGGCUCACCAAGCCAACGAUCUGAAGCUGGUCUGAGAGGACGACCAGCCACACUGGGACUGAGACACGGGGCAGACUCCUACGGGAGGGAGCAGUGGGGAAUUGUGGACAAUGGGCGAAAGCCUGAGCAAGCAAUGCCGCGUGCAGGAAGAAGGCCUUCGGGUUGUACACUGCUUUUGUACGGAGCGAAAAGGUCUCCUCUAAUACAGGGGGCUCAUGACGGUACCGUAAGAAUAAGCACCGGCUAACUACGUGCCCGCCGCCGCGGUAA